rnacentral:lncRNA from 1 species
AUAUAUAUAUAUGUAUGUAUGUAUGUAUAUAUAUGCACAUACACACAGGCACGCACAUAUCCAUGUAUAUAUAUUUAUAUAUAUACAUACAUACAUGCAUACUCAUGUAUAUGUGUGUCUAUAAAAAAAUGUUGUUAAUAUUACCGUUUGUAUUAAUUAAGAUGCUUGAUUAGCAGACUCUGUAAAUUGUUCCAGAGUUUACUUUGGCCUUCGUCCUUCCAAGGGAGACAAAUAUUUUAGUUUCCCCUAUCCUAACACAAAGAUCCACUUCACAGCACUGUCCAGAAACAUGUCUGGCCUCGUGCCGGUGUUAGAAGACAGUGGACAACAGAAUCACCUGCGGAGGAAUGGACAGAGUACCUCACAGGAUUCUGUUACACAUCUCCUUACAUGAUCUGAGUUCAUAUCCUGCUGGGGUCGACUUCAAUUUUCAUUCUUCUUCUUCUUCUUCUUUGGAUCUUAUCUCGUUGUUUAAACACUUCUCCUCAAUUCUGUGGUCCUGCACCUGUCUAUCUUCUGACUUUACUUGUUGGUCUGUGACCAUGCUGGAGCACUGCUUUGGCAGGUUCGCUCAAACAAGUCAACGCCAGUAUUUUUUUUUUUAAAGCCUGGUUCUUAUUGUGUUGGUCUCUUUUGCUGAGCCACCAAGUUACAUAGACAUAAACAAACCAACACCGAUCGGCAAGCAUUGGUGGGUAACAAAUGCAGACAGUCCUUACACGCAUUUAUAUACAUACACAACAGGCUUCCACACAGUUUCCAUCUACCAAUUCAUUUGCAAGGCAAGCUUCUCAACCACACCAUCAAAGGUAUUAAGGUGAACUCACAGAAUGAAAAGAAAAUCAGAGAAAAUGCUUUAUGGAAUUUCUUCCAAACCUUUACAUUCUGAGUUCAAAUCUUGCCACGGUCAACUUUACCUUUCAUCCCUCCUGGGCUGGUGAAACAAAAUACCAGUCAAGACUUGAGGUUGAUGUCUUCGGCUAACCCCAUCACCACCACCACCAUCAAAAUUGCUGGCCUUGUGCCUGAAUCAGAAACCAUUGUUAUUGUGAAAGAACAGUGGGUUGGCAGAAUUGGUAGAUCAUCAAGCAAAAUUCCCUGUGGCAUUUAUUCCUGUUCUUUACAUUCUGGGUUCAACUCCUGCCAAGGUCAUCUUUCAGUUUUUAUCCUUUCAGGGGUCAAUAAAAUUAAGUAUCAGUCAAAGUUGCCGGGGUUGAUGACAUAUAAUCCCCAGCCCUCAGACAGAAUUGCUGGCUUUGUGCCUAAAUUGGAAAUGUUUCUUCUUCCUCCAUUGAACCAGCAGAAUCAUUAGGGGGUCAGUAAAAAUGUCUGAUGCCAGUUCUUCACGUUCUGAGUUCAAAUCCUGCUGAGAUCAACUUUGCCUUUCAUCCCUCCAAGAUCGAUAAAAUUGAUUACCGGUCAAUUAGUGUGGUUGAUGUAAUUGACUAAUUAACCCCACCACCACCACCAUCCCCCAAAAAUGAAAAUUUAGGCCUUGUGCUUGUAUAAGAAACUAUCUCGGCUUUGCCUUUCAUUCCUCCAGGGUCAAUAAAAUAAAAUACCAGUCAUGUGCUGGGGUCAGUGAUAUUGAUUAACCCGUUCUAUUCCAUGUAAGACUUAGAAAAUAUAUUCAAAAUAUAUUUUACACUGUGUAAAGAUUAUUUGACCACCACCACCAUCAUCAUUUAGCAUCUGCUUUUCAUGCUGACAUGAGUUGGACAGUUUGACAGGGACUGGCAAGGCUGGAUGGCUGUACCAGGCUCCAGUUGUCUGAUUCAGCAUGGUUUCUGUUACUGGAAGCCCUUCCUAAUGUGAACCACUCUACAGAGUGCACUGGGCGCUUUUUAUGUGAUUCUGGCACAGGUGCCUUUCAUGUGUGCCAGCUUGGGUGCUUUUUACAUGGUGCCAGUAAAGGCCCUUUUAUAUGUGGCACCAGUAUGGCUGAUAAAGAAUUCCAUUUGCUGGACAGCGGGGACAAAUAUGUUUAUUAUAUUAAUUGCCAACAGUCCACAGUUUCACCCCGGGUGGGCUGUACAUGACUCUGAAGGAGACUACAUUGUUUGCAGCUUAUAUAAAGGGUUCUUGUCUGUCAACAUGGUAAAUUUUCCAUCUGACUAUUCUUAUAAAAUGCUCUCUCAUCAUCAUCUAAAAUCUGCUUUCCAUUCUGGCAUAGGUCAGGAGAUGGCAAAUCAGAAGACUACGCCAACCCCUACUGUCUGUUGUCACAUAGUUUCUAUGGCUGGAGGCUCUUCUUAACACAAACCACUUUACAUAGUGUACAGGAUGGUUUUUUUUUUUUUUUUUUUAAAUAGCAUGGAGUAACUAUUAUCUGUGGUAUAAGCUUGUUUCUCAUGGGAUUGAACCUAAAACAACAUGGUUGGGAAAUAAAAUUUCUUAACCACACUAAGAGACAUAAUGAAUAAUCAUCAUCGUUUAAUGUCUGCCUUCCAUGCUGGAUGGUUUGACCGGAACUGGCCAGGCAGGAGCCUGCACCAGACUUCUGUGUGUAUUUUGGCAGGGGUCUUUACGGCUGGACACCCUUCCUAACACCAUCCACCCAGCAGAGUUUGUAGUAAAAUUAUAUUUUACAUAAUGGAAGCAUUGUCUGACAUGGAACUUAAUAUGGGCAGAAAAUUCACUGAGAAGUUUAUUAGAAGAGUGAGAUGGGAAAUUUACACCUUAACCCUAUAGCAUUUGAUCUGGCCAUAUUUGGCCCAAAUAUGUUCUGACCAGUCAGAUCUGGUCCCUCACACCUCCCCUACAAUGUCAUUCUAAAAAUAUACAAUCAUCGUCAUUCAAAUGUCUGCUUUCCAUGCUGGCAUGGGUUGGACAAUUUGACAGGCGCUGCCAAGCCAAAGAGCUGCACUUGGUUCCAGUCUUCUGUUUUGGCAAUUUUUCUACAACUGGAUACCCUUUCUGUUGCCAACCUCUUUACAGAGGGCACUGGGUGUCUUUUAUGUGUCACCAGCAUGUUAUUGAAAUCCUGAAAGUAUGAGAUAAUGCCUGAUUAAUUCAAAACAAUGUAAAUGAAUAAAUAAGCUUUACAUUUGACAAAGAAUGCUAAAGGAUUAACGACGAUUUUCUGUCACAGUUUCUGCCUUUUUUAAUUAGUUUUCAAAGAUAUCACCAUCCCCAUCUCCAACCCAUACAUAUUCUUAUGUCAACUGCAAGCAAGUUUUUCUGGCCCACAAUCACUAAUAGCCUAGCCUGGGUAUGAAACUCUAAGUAGACUGUAAACUUUUGAUGUAAUUAAACAUGUCCGUCAGCUCUAUCCAGCACAUUGAGUUCUACUAUUGAUAACUUUUACACAAUGUAAAAUAUAUUUUGAAUAUAUUUUACAACUCUUACACAUCAACAGAUAUAUAUGUGUACUCGUAUGCAUGAUAUAUAUAAUAUAUAUAUAUAUAUAUAUAUGAUGGCCGUCCACUUGUGACUGAGGAAGACCAUUGCUGACCUUCAGGAACAUUGUCCACUCUAGGACUAACUUAUAUUUUGCAUUUGCGGAUCCGUUGGUGGCUAAUGAGCCCUGCUCUUGACAAGCAUACAUGAUUGUAAACAUUGCAGACCAAGCUUUCCCCAUUCACUACACCAACUGUGUGCUUUUGAGCAGCAUGCUUCAAUUCUCCAUGCAGAAGAUGUGCUCUCUCAAAGGAGUCGACCCCCUCCUUAACCUGCUUCCUCCAUCUGUGGCGAUGACAGGAAUUGCUCCCCCAGUAGGUCUCCUGCAUAUCACAGGCAUUUAAUCAGCACAUGACAUAAUCGUUAAAUUGCAGCCUUGGUCUCUGCCGGGGUCUCUUUCCAUUAAGAAGUUCCCCAUAUAACAUCUGUUUAGGGAUCCUGCUAUCUUUUCAAUAAGUGUAUAAUCGAACAUGCUAAAUUUGCUUGUUUCUACAAAAUACACUUUGAAAAUAGGGGUGCAUCUUAUACGCUAGCAAAUAGGGUAGUUUUGAAAAUAAUAAAGAAUUUAGUGAGAUAAGUUUGCCAUCAUUUAAACUGGUGUUUAGAAAAUGAGUUGACAUGAAAUUUUGGUGGAAGGUUUUUAGGUCACUUCAAAACAAGAAGUCUUAGAACCCAGGGGAGGUCUCAGGUGUUGGAAUCGAAGGACCUUCAGAUGAAAAAAAUAAGGAAGAGGCAGGUGUCUUAUAUUUAUCAUUAAUUAAUUAAAGAAUGAAACACGUGGGAGAGGAAGGGGUACUUUACAUGCGUUGAAGCAUCUUCUAACUUAAGGACAAGAAUAUAGAGUUGGGUACUCUGUUUGUAUUUUGGGGAUCUUUUGGCUGAUUCUGAUGAUGAAAAAUAAACAAGGAGGGGGUGGUACCUUGCAUGGGUUUUCAGAAUCUUUUUGCACUUGGGUAACUGGGUAACUCAACUUUGGCGUUUAAAAACAAUUUUAAUAAAGAAUUUUUUUUUUUGUUUUGAAAAAUGUACCAUCACCACCACUGUUCCAAAAAUCCACUUCUGGUACUACAAAAGCAUGCGUCUACCAGUCUGUUUGUCCUGAUGUUACCUGUAAUUAUGAAUUUUACCUGUGGGUUGUUUAUAACUGGGUUAUUGUUUUUUUUUGUUUUUUUGUUUUUUUCUGGUGAAGACAAACAAAAACACUCAUUCAAACAAAUGUAUUUAUUUAAAGCUAUGAAGUUUUUGUGCUGCUAUUUAAUUAUAUAUAUAUAUAUUUUUUUGUUUGUUUUUGAUAAGUAUGAACACAUACAUACUCAUACACACACACAGUGGAGGCACAUGGCCUAGUGGUUAGAGCAGCGGACUCGCGGUCGAGGGAUCGCGGGUUCAAAUCCCAGACCAGGCGAUGUGUGUGUUUAUGAGCGAAAACACCUAACCUCCACGCGGCUCCGGGAGGAAGUAAUGGCGAAACUUCUGCUGACUCUUUCGUCACAACUCUCUCUCACUCUUUCCUCCUGCAUCUUGCAGCUUACCUGCGACGGACCGGCGUCCCGUCCAGGUGGGGAACCUAUACGCCAAGAAACCGGACCUUAUGAGCCAGGCAUGGCUCAAGAAGGAACAAACAUACACACACACACUACAUAUAUUUAAACUAGGAAUUAUUUUCAUGAUUUAUAAAAAUCAUUUUAGUGGAACAAGCAGGAGCACAAACACACAUAAUCUUUCUGUCUCAUAUUUAUAUAUUUAAUAUAUUUAUGUAAAUUAUGGUAUUUUCUAUUUAUUUAAAUUAUGUAUUUAUUUAAAUAAUAUAUUUAUUUGAAAUAUAUUUUUAUUUAAAAUGUAUUUAAAUUAUCUAUUCAUCUUAAUUAAAUAUUCAUUUAAAUUAUUUAUUUCAAUUAUAUAUUUAUUCAAAAUGUAUUAAAUUAUAUUUUUAUUUUAAAUAUAAUUCAAAUGUAUUUAAAUCAAGUAUUUAAAAUGUAUUUAACUAAAUAAUGUAUUUAUUUGAAUUAUAUAUUUAUUUCAACUAAAUUUAUUUAAAUUAUAUCUUUUAAGGCUGUGCCCCAGCAUGGCCCAGUCCAAUGAAUGAAAAAACUAAAAGAUGUAAGAUUUAUUUAAAAUGUAUUUAUUUAAAUUAUUAUAUAUUUAUUUUGACAUUUUCACAGAAUUUUUUUUUUCUAUUUUAUGUCGUUUUGUGACAAAAUGUACCAACAUAUACAAAACAUUUAAUCAAAGUGAGUUUUUUUCACCAAAAUUUUUGAAAAAGUUUUUUGGUGGAAGGAUCAGAGGACACACAGACAGAAAAAAUCUUUCUGACCAUUUGGAUCAAACCAAAUUCUAUUUCAGAAAGAUUUCCGUUUCAAUAUUCUCAAUGUCACUUUUUUUUUUUCCUUCUGUUGUUUUGGCCAUGCAUAAGUCUACAGAUUACUGUUGCUCCAGCAUGAGCUUAGCCUUGAUGAAUAAAACAAACAGAAAAGACACACACACACACACACAUUUAUUUAUUUAUUCAUCUAUUUGACUGUCAAAUUUUUUUUGGUGAAUUUACCAAAAUAUUUCAAUUUUUACCAAAAAUUUCCAUUUUACUCACCCGCACACCCCCUUGCCACCCCCACCCCCAUCAUGAUCACCACUACUCGUGUGGGUGGAGGGGUGGGUGUUUUUUUUAUUGAACUGAUUGAUCUGAUAUUGUUCUAUGGUUAUACUAUCUAAUUAAUUCAAAUCGGUUAAAAUUUAAUUAACCAAAUACUUUGAAUUUGUUUGGAUUUUUUUUCUAAAAAACAAAAAUAAGCUGUUUUCCACUCUCACCCUACCCCCAUCCCUGAUCCACCCCUGCACCCUGUUCCAUGUUUCUGUUGUUGUUAUUAUUAUUAUUAUUAUUAUUAUUAUUAUUAAGGUGGUGAGCUGGCAGAAAUGUUAGCAUGGUGGGCGAAAUGCUUAGCGGCAUUUCCUCUGCCUUCACGUUCUGAGUUCAAAUUCCACUGAGGUCAACUUUGCCUUUCAUCCUUUCGGGGUCGAUAAAUUAAGUACCAGUGAAACUCUGGGGUUGGUGUAAUCAGCUAGACCCCUCCCCCAAAAUUUCAGGCCUUGUGCCUAUCGUAGAAAGAAUUGUUGUUGAUGUUUUGUUAUUGUUAUUAUCUCUUGUCUUUCAAAAUGAAUUGACUCCACACACAAGUGACAAGCAUGGACUUCAGCACCAAACACAUAUGUAAAUGCAUGUAUGUGUGUGUAUAUAUAUAUAUGUAUAUAUAUAUAUAUGUAUAUAUAUAUAUAUAUAUAUGUAUAUAUAUAUGUAUAUAUAUAUGUAUAUCAUCAUCAUCAUCGUUUAACGUCUGUUCUCCAUGCUAGCAUGGGUUGGACGGUUCGACCGGGGAUCUGGGAAGCCAGAAGGCUGCACCAGGCCCAGUCUGAUCUGGCAAUGUUUCUACAGCUGGAUGCCCUUCCUAACGCCAACCACUCCGUGAGUGUAGUGGGUGCUUUUUACGUGCCACCCGCACAUAUAUGUAUAUAUAUAUAUAUUUAUAUAUAUAUAUAUAUAUGUAUGUAUAUAUAUAUAUGUAUAUAUAUAUAUACGCGCGUGUAUGUAGUUGCACAUUCGUGUGUUUCCUUGCUAAAACCAGUAUUUUGUGGAACAGGGUCAACGUUAACUGAAACCUCAAUUACCCCACCCCCUUGCUCCCUCACCCCUCACCCAAUCACUUGAUCUAAUGGCGUGAAAGAAAAUAAAAAAUAAAAUGAUAAAAAAAAAACACUAGAAGCUUGUGUUUUGUUCGGAAUGAAUCUGGUGCAAAUAUUUCAAUAUUUGAAUUUAUAAUUUAUAUUUUACAUUUGUUAAAGAAUAAAAAAAAAAC